UACGUAGGGUGCGAGCGUUGUCCGGAAUUACUGGGCGUAAAGAGCUCGUAGGUGGUUUGUCGCGUUGUCCGUGAAAACUCACAGCUUAACUGUGGGCGUGCGGGCGAUACGGGCAGACUGGAGUACUGCAGGGGAGACUGGAAUUCCUGGUGUAGCGGUGGAAUGCGCAGAUAUCAGGAGGAACACCGGUGGCGAAGGCGGGUCUCUGGGCCGAUACUGACGCUGAGGAGCGAAAGCGUGGGGAGCAAACAGG
rnacentral:rRNA from 1 species